CUACGGGCCGCAGCAGUGAGGAAUAUUGCACAAUGGGCGCAAGCCUGAUCCAGCAAUGCCGCGUGAGUGAAGACGGCCUUAGGGUUGUAAAACUCUUUCGCUAGGGAAGAUAAUGACUGUACCUAGUAAAGAAGUCCCGGCUAACUCCGUGCCAGCGGCCGCGGUAAUACGGAGGGGACUGGCGUUGUUCGGAAUUACUGGGCGUAAAGAGUUCGUAGGCGGACUGACAAGUUAGAGGUGAAAUCCCAGGGCUCAACCCUGGAACUGCCUUUAAAACUGUCAGUCUAGAGACCGGAAGAGGUUAGGGGAAUACCUAGUGUAGAGGUGAAAUUCGUAGAUAUUAGGUGGAACACCAGUGGCGAAGGCGCCUAACUGGUCCGGUACUGACGCUGAGGAACGAAAGCGUGGGGAGCAAACAGGAUUAGAUACCCUGGUAGUC
rnacentral:rRNA from 1 species